GAGAUGCUAACUCUUUUAUAGAGCCUUUGCUUAAUGAAGGAAAAAUUCUCAACUCUUUGAGAAUUGUAGUAGGAUCAAAGCACCUUCAAGAUCUCCCUUGCUAAAAUUUUAGUACACAAGAGGAGGAAAAAGAAGCACUUUGAGGCAUGGAGGAGGAGAGGAGGCUUGGGCAUAGAGGUUAUUGACGCAUGAGAGAGAUAUACAAGACCUUGGGCGGCCACCUUUUAUACAGGCUCUCAAC
rnacentral:lncRNA from 1 species